GAUCGGUCAGCUCUCAUCUGCUGCACCAUGGUGCUGAUCAUAGAGAUCCUGCCGUUGUGUGUGCCGGAAGACCGGCAAAUCUCCCCCGGCAACACCAUCGUCUCCGACGGCGGUUCUUUUGCCUUUGGCUUCUUCUCCCCUUCAAACUCAACGAGUACACCGGCCAAAUUGUAUCUUGGUAUAUGGUACAACGACAUUCCUGACCUCACCGUGGUGUGGGUCGCCAACCGAGAAACCCCGGCCACCAACAACUCAAAACCGAUGCUCUCCCUCACCAACAGCUCCAAUCUUGUUCUGUCUGAUGGUGACGGCCGUGCCCUUUGGAUGACCACCAACAUGGCGGCUUCCCCUGGCUCGUCUCCCCCGUCUGCGGUGCUUCUAAACACAGGAAACCUCAUCAUCCGGUCGUCAAAUGGCACCAUGUUGUGGCAAAGCUUCGACCACCUAACCGACACGUUGCUCCCGGGCAUGAAGGUUCGGAUCUGGUACAAUACGGGCGCCAGUCAGCGGCUAGUAUCCUGG
rnacentral:rRNA from 1 species